rnacentral:other from 1 species
GCCGUCCUGCCCUGCUCGUGAUGAGCCUUUUUAAACCCACAUUUAUAAUCAGGGACGCCGGCACUCUUUCGGCGAAUUGCAGGCCUCCCGCCCGGCGCUCGCGGGUAACCGCGAUAACGCCGCGGCGGACGUUGGAAGCAGCGAACCCGAAAGGAGGCAUCCCACCUGCCUUAAUGAUGCAGGGUUAUAAAUGGGCUUACACGGCAGGCGCGGGACGUCU